rnacentral:lncRNA from 1 species
AAAAAUCCUCAAUCCUCAAUCUUAAGGCCUGUUGGCACGAAUUGUCCCAAUGUACGGUUUUACUCUCUGGUGCGUUUUCCUCGAUGUAUUUUCUUCUCUGUGCUUUAAAUUUGGUAUGCGCUGGUUAAGAUUGGGAUUGAGGAACAGCAGUAUUAAAUCUGCCCGUUCUGUCAAUGUAAUGUGCCACUGUUUGUAAUUUGGCUUUUGUCUCUUCUGUGUUUUCGCCGUCCAGUCUUGUCAGCAUAGUAGCUAAAUUCAAGUUUCUGACCCCGACCUCUUUGGAUAUUUGAUGUAGCAUAUCUUCUCGUUCUUUUUCAUAGUAGGGACACUCCAGAAG